rnacentral:rRNA from 1 species
UACGAAGGGGGCUAGCGUUGCUCGGAAUUACUGGGCGUAAAGAGCGUGUAGGCGGUCCGGUAAGUCAGCUGUGAAAGUCAAGGGCUCAACCCUUGAAUGCCGGUUGAUACUGUCGGGCUAGAGUCCGGAAGAGGCGAGUGGAAUUCCCGGUGUAGCGGUGAAAUGCGCAGAUAUCGAGAGGAACACCUGCGGCGAAGGCGGGUUGCUGGGCUGACACUGACGCUGAGGCGCGAAAGCCAGGGGAGCGAACGGG